CUUUGCUGAAUAUAACCCACUCUCUGCAUACUCCGGAGACAUGUAACCACUGCAUAAUGGAAGAACCUUUAUUCAAACUUAACGCCUUGCUCUCGCUCCUGCUACAAAUUCUUGCCAAGCCAAAAUCUGAUAUUUUGGGGAUCAUAUUUCUAUCAAGCAAGAUGUUGGCUGGUUUCAAAUCCCUGUGGACAAUCAUAACUCGCGAACCGUCUUGCAUAUAGGCAAGACCGUGACAAAUACCUUUAAUAAUCUCAAAUCUCAUCUGCCAGUUUAGGUCGGAUGAGUUUUGGCCUCCACCUAAAACUCAGGUCAAAAAGAAUAUUGCGGUCAAAAAGAUUGAACUAAUGAGAA